AAAUGUAGGAGAAUAGAGAUAGUGGUGAAGGUAAUCUCACCCCUAAGGAGUUACAGCUGUGCCAAUUAUCAAGCAUUAAGAACAAGCCUGCCCUUAAUAGGCCACAGCUGGAUCCAGUUAGGAGGGGUAUUGUAAAAGAGCAGGUUGGCUGGUCAAGGUGGGAGAUGGAGUUUGUUGGCUGUGCAGAGGAGAAGGAGUCAGUGCUGUGAGGAGCUGCCCCUGAGAAAUCUCCAAGAAGGUGUGGGGCCAGCUCCUCGUGUCUGACCUCUUGGAGUGCUGCAGUAGUUUUGCCCAUCCCUGCAGGUGGCAGGGGAGACCCAAGAGUAAGAGUCCAAUUUUCCUGCUUUCUGAAGAGAUCUGUGAGAGGAGGGGCACGUGGUACAGAAUGGCAUGUCUCUGGAGUGGAGGAGG